GAUGAACGCUGGCGGCGUGCCUAAUACAUGCAAGUCGAGCGAACAGACAAGGAGCUUGCUCCUCUGACGUUAGCGGCGGACGGGAGCGUAACAUGUGGAUAACCUACCUCUCAGACUGGGAUACCUACGGGAAACCGGAGCUUAUACCGGAUGAUAUAUUGCACCGCAUUGUUCAAUAGUGAAAGACGGUUUUGGUGUCACUUAUAGCUUGAUCCGCGCCGCAUUAACUAGUUGGUAGGGUAACGGCUUACCAAGGCAACGAGGCGAACACGACCUGAGCGCGUGAUCGGCCACACGGGAAGUGAGACUCGGUCCAGACUCCUACGGGAGGCAGCAGUAGGGAAUCUUCCGCAAUGGGCGAAAGCCUGACGGAGCAACGCCGCGGGAGGGAUGAAGGUCUUCGGAUCGGAAAACUCUGUUAUCAGGGGAGAACAAAAGUGUAAGUAACUAGGCACGUCUUGACGGUACCGAAUCAGAAAGCCACGGCUAACUACGUG
rnacentral:rRNA from 1 species